AUGCACGCUGGCGGCGUGCCUAAUACAUGCAAGUCGAGCGAACAGACGAGGAGCUUGCUCCUCUGACGUUAGCGGCGGACGGGUGAGUAACACGUGGAUAACCUACCUACAAGACUGGGAUAACUUCGGGAAACCGGAGCUAAUACCGGAUAAUAUAUUGAACCGCAUGGUUCAAUAGUGAAAGACGGUUUUGCUGUCACUUAUAGAUGGAUCCGCGCCGCAUUAGCUAGUUGGUAAGGUAACGGCUUACCAAGGCAACGAUGCGUAGCCGACCUGAGAGGGUGAUCGGCCACACUGGAACUGAGACACGGUCCAGACUCCUACGGGAGGCAGCAGUAGGGAAUCUUCCGCAAUGGGCGAAAGCCUGACGGAGCAACGCCGCGUGAGUGAUGAAGGUCUUCGGAUCGUAAAACUCUGUUAUUAGGGAAGAACAAAUGUGUAAGUAACUAUGCACGUCUUGACGGUACCUAAUCAGAAAGCCACGGCUAACUACGUG
rnacentral:rRNA from 1 species